rnacentral:tRNA from 1 species
GUCCAAAUAGCUUAUCUAGAGCAUGACACUGAAGAUGUUAGGGAGAUUUUAGGAUCUUUGGACA